CCUCUUCGGAUUCCUGGACCCCUCAGAUCUAAAUAUGGGUCUGAGUGGCUGAAAAAGAAGGAAAAGUAAAACUGAAGUGGACUUGGAGCCUUUAAUAACUCACAAGUUCAUGUCAAACAUAG
rnacentral:snoRNA from 1 species